AACAGCAUCGAAAGGAGUAAAUUGUACGGAUUCGUGGUCGAUGGUUGUGUUUGUGUAAUUCAUUAACGUUCGCGUUUCGCGGAUUUAUUGUAUAUUUAUUUAUAUUAUUCGCUCUUAUCAUCGCGCAAAAAUGUAAAAUAAACGUCCCAGUGUCCGAUCAAAAUAAUUCCAGUGAAAUUUUCUUAUCAGUGUUAUCACCUAGUGCGCGAAUCCUCUGAUAAGCCGUAGCAAUUAAUAGUGUAAUCUUCGACUUGGAAGUUACGUUCCAUAAUUUUAUUCAUCAUAUAAUUUACAAAUUCUAAAUUCAUCUGUAAUAACAUGCACUACUACUGGUAAUAUUCUGUACAAAAAUGUCAUCCUUGCGCGUAUCCCAAAUCGGCCUGGUGGCCAGAAGUCCCGAAGGACAUGCAGCCAAAGGAAUGCCUAUCAAAGGCCACGAAGAUCUUUGGAUCGAUAUACAAGCGAACACGUUUCGAAAUUGGAUCAACGAGCACCUGAAAAGCGUCGAUAUGAGGGUGGUCAAUUUAGCUAGCGAUUUCGGCGAUGGUACCAAGCUUUGUGCUUUGGUCGAGGUGCUUCAGAAACGUAUCAUAAAACCGCACUGGAAUCGAAAACCCACCAAUCAACAUCAGUAUUUGGAAAAUGUUUCUUGCGCUUUGAAUGCCAUAGCCGAAGAUGGCGUUAAAUUGGUUAAUAUAGGUAACAUCGACAUCGUGAAUGGAAAUUUAAAAUUAAUAUUGGGUUUAAUUUGGUCGUUAAUCGUUCGUUACCAAAUCGGUCCAUCCAAGUUCCCUCCGAAGAAACUGAUGUUGGCCUGGUUAAAAGCAGUGUUACCAGAUUGCAGUGUGAAUAAUCUAACCUCAGAUUGGAACAGUGGUAUAAACUUAUCAGCUCUAUUAGAUUACUGCCAACCUGGAUUGUUCUCUAAUUGGAGGGAAUUGGAUCCAUCCGAUAGCAUCGAGAACUGUCGAACAGCGAUGGAAUUAGCCCGGCAAGAAUUCAACGUACCUAUGGUCUUGGAACCGGAAUACUUGGCUUCGCCAUUCUUGGACGAAUUGUCCGGUAUGACGUAUUUGUCUUACUUCAUGAAGGAAGACAGUCCUGGUUUCAAAUCAACGUUGCGAUGGGUGAAUUCUCGUCUGAAGAACAGACCUGUUAGAAAUUUCACGACUGAUUGGAAUGAUGGCAGGGCAUUAUGUACUUUGGUAAAAUCACUCGGUGGAUCAGCCAAGUACGAAGACAGUGAUGAUACGUCGGUUUGGUUAUCGAAUUUGAAUUCAGGUAUUUACGCCGGUCGCAGAUUAGGAGUUGAUCCUUUGCUCAGUGCUAAAGAUAUGGUUAAUCAAAACGUCGAGCAUUUAGGAGUGAUGGCGUACGCUGCCAGCUUCCAAUGGAUUCCUCCUCGGACUCAUCCGUCAGCUGUGGUCGCCGCGACUUCUGACUCGCAUACGACCAGAGUCUAUCAACCGACAACCAUAAAUUUAGAUUUUUCAAGCAGCGAAGUGAACCUGAAAGAAAUCACAGCCGAAAUUAUCGGUCCGGAAUGUAAUAAAGUAGAAUGUAGACUUACCUUGGGUCUAUCAGGAGGCAAAGGAACAUUCGUACCGAUGCAAGUCGGCAUGCAUAAGAUAAUCGUAUACAACGAAGAAGAAAUUGUUCGCGGUUGCCCUCUUUACAUUCGCGCCAUGCCGGAGUUGACUUCAAUCAAACACACAGGCUUGGAACCCUGCGCUGUUGGAUCGAUCGUCGAAGUGAUAGUGAAUUCAAACGGUGCCAAAGCAGGUCUUAUAGAAGUUACAGCUACAUCACCCACAGGAAGAGAAUUACUUUGUCCUGUGCAUGAACGAGAGGGUAUCUAUAGAGCUACUUUCGAGCCGGAUGAACCCGGAGAAUGGUCCAUUGCUGUUAGACAUAGCGGCGAACUGAUCGAUGGUGGACCAUUUCCGUGCUUCGUGUUUGAUCCGAAUGGAGUCGAAUUGAUUGGAUUGGAUAAGUCUGCUGUGCCUGAGGGUAUAUUUAAUUUCACUUUGGAUGCCAGAGGAACUGGAGGCCUGGGAAAUAUUGUUAUUGAUAUCGUGUAUAAUAAGCAAUCGUUACCGCAUACCAUUGAUCAUAUUGGAAAUUCAAUUUAUAGAGUUUCUCUGCACACCAGAAGGCCUGGAAAAUACAAGCUGUAUAUUUAUUUCAAUGGAAACCAAAUUAAAGGUAGUCCUUUUCCAUUGAGAGUUGGUACCAAAGAACAACAGCGAGUAGAAAGACAAAGUUCUUUUUCCAAGCAUUACGAUAGAAGUAGUUAUAAUAAUAAUUAUGAAUUCAAAGAAGAAAAUUCGUCAGACAGUUAUUACCAUAGAAUAAGUUCCCCAUCUCGAUCGCCAUCACAUUCACCUAGUCCACAUUUACACGCCAGUAGUCCGGUAAACGUUAGAAAUUCAGAAUCGUCGAGUAUUCAUAAAUCUGCAUUUAAGGUAACCAGUAACAGUAGUUCGAAAAUGGUCGACUCACUACUACGGUCCAGAUUAUCGCCUAUAAAUAAUUCAAGCGAUUAUUCAUACAAGAAUGUCAAUUCAUCGUCGUCGAUGCAAAACUCAUCGUAUAGAAAUGGUAGUCCGAGUAGUCACAUCACGAAACACAAUUCCACAUCGAAUAAUCAUUCGGUCAAGUAUUUGAAUACAUCGUCGAGUAUUCGAAUGUCUCCAAGUUCGCCUACGGCUCACUUCAAAAGUAUUUUGAAUUCUAAUUCGAAGAGCUCGACUCCUGUUAAUGGCCAUGCUCUAGACAUUAAAGUAACCGGAGAUGCUUUACAUUUGUUACCAAUUCAUAAACCGUCCACUAUUUAUAUUCAUACCGAUGCUACUCUUCCAAAUGUUUUGGUUACCGUUACUUCCCCUUCAAGUUCAACAUUACCAGUAAGAUUAUCUCGUAACGUUAUCGAUAACGUUGUUUCUGCUUCAUUUACUCCGGUUGAAAUCGGAGAACACGCGAUCGACGUUAAAAUCAAUAACGAACGUAUCGCUGCAUCACCUUUCAGAACCCACGCUUAUAAUUCCCUUGCCAUAAAAGUUGCUUCGAUACCAGACGGAUACGUUGGCCAAGCUGUCGAAUUUGAAAUUGACGGCUCCGGCGCCGGCUCAGGCAACCUGGAGAUUUUAGUGAAUGGUGGCCAUGUUACCAGUUUCGUAAGGAAUCUCGGAAAUCAACGAUUUCUAGCUUCGUUUGUGCCCCACGAAGCUGUCAUUCAUAAAAUCGACAUGAAAUUCAAUAACGAACCGGUUAUCGGAAGUCCUUGGGAAAUAUCAGUCAUGCCCAGCGGAACUGUCGGUCCGAAGAUGUCAGUUAUUGGAGAAGCGGUCCGGCUUGUACCGGCCAAUCACUCGGCUAGUUUCCAAAUCAGCGCUAUUGGAUUUAGAAGAAGUGAUUUACGAGCUACGGUUAUGAGUCCGUCCAAACGUAAUUUACCAACUUCCAUAUUUUCCGAAGGAAGUAACGGAGUAUUCCGUAUCGAAUUUAUACCCACCGAGGUGGGCAGCCACCUUAUCGAUGUCUCCGUAGCUGGUGAUAAACUCAUAGGAGGCCCGUUGGUGGCCAAGGUGUAUAAUACAUCUUAUAUACAUGUUACCGAUGUGAAAAAUGGCGUAGUCGGACAACCCUGUCAAUUCAAAGUUGACGCUAGCGAAGCUGGUGAAGGUCAAUUGGAGAUUUCAAUCAACGAAGGCGAAGUACCAAAUCACGUUACUGUAGUAGGCGGAGGUCGUUGUCUAGUCUCAUUUACGCCAGAACAGCCGAAGCCUCAUCUUAUCGAUAUUAAAUUCAACGGAGAAACCGUAUCAGGUUGCCCGUUUGUGUGCUCAGUUUCGGAUACGAGUAGAGUAUCAGUGAAUUUCAGUAGUUUAGAAUUAAUACCAGUUAACCAAGUGGCAAGAUUUCACAUGACUGUAGACAACAGUGCUUCAGCCGAACUUUCAGUUUCUGUUACCGGACCUACCAGUGAAUUACCGGUAAAAGUGACCGGAAACGUUCACAGCGGUUUCACAGCUGAAUUUACUCCACAACAAGUUGGAUCUCAUACGAUAGCUGUCGACUAUAAUGGCCAUCCGAUCUACGGUACACCUUUUGUUUCAAAAGUAUACGAUGCUAAACAAGUGAUCGUUGGCAAUGUGCCCAAAGGACAUGUGGGAAAUACGCUUCAAUUUACUGUGGAUGCUAGUCAAGCUGGAGAAGGAAAUUUAGAAAUUACAAUUAGCGCUCGCGGUACAAAUAUUCCGACACAAGUCCAUCCGCAAAGAAAUGCUAAAUUUACCGUCAGUUUCGUACCAAUUGAACCGACUGAUCAUAUUAUUAGCAUUCAUUUCAAUAAAGAACCAGUACCAGGUUCACCGUUUAUUGCCAACGUCAGCGGAGAUUUUCCAUUAGUAAAUGGAGCCGCUUUAAAUUCAGCACCCGUUGGCAGUAAUUCUUACUUCACAAUGAGCAACGUAUCCGGCAAUUUAGAAGAUAUCGAAGUCAAUGUGGAGGGUCCAAACGGGCAGUCGGUACCUGCUCUAGUUAAAGACACCGGUAAACAAACAUUUAAUGUGGAAUUCUGUCCCAAACUCGUCGGCGAGCAUAAGAUCGGAGUCAGUUAUAAAAAGGUGCCCUUGGCUGGGUCUCCUUUCAGUUGCAAAGUCUACGAUGUGAACGCUAUCAAAGUCACACCGGUCAAAAAUGGAGUUAUUGGGCAACCUGUUACUUUUAUCAUUGAGACGAGUCAAGCUGGUCCUGGAAAUUUGGAGGUUACGGUUAAUGGUGGACGUGUUCCUACUACAGCUCAAGGUCAAGGACCUCACACUUACGCUAUAUCGUUUACUCCGAGACAACCUGCAGUUCAUACGGUCGAUUUGAGGUUCAAUGGGAAAGAUGUGCCUGGAUCACCCUUCACUUGCUCAGUCAGCGAAGCAGCCAGAGUCGUUCUAUCCAACGAAGACAAAGUAUCGGUAGAUAAACCAGCGAAAUUCGUCAUCGAAUGCGAACCCUCCAUCGGAACCCCCAAAGUACAAGUCCUAUCUCCGAGUCGAAUCGCUUUACCUGUUCAGCUCGUACCUUUGGACACCUCUGGCAGAUUUUCAGCUCAAUUUGUAGCCAAAGAUGUUGGCGAUCACAGCGUCGAAGUGAAAAUAAACGGAAAUCACGUCGAAGGAAGUCCAUUUUUGAUCAAAGCCUACGACGCGAGUAAAGUCAAAGUUACCGAUAUUAAUUCAGGUUUUGUCGACAGUCCGGUGUAUUUUACAAUCAACGCGAGCCAAGCCGGAGCCGGAAACUUGGAAAUAAUAGUUUCGGUGAACGGAUGCAAUGUACCGAAUUACGUGCAAUCGGAAGGAAACGCCAAAUUUAGAGUGAAUUUCAAACCUAGAGAAGCUGCUCCCCACAACUUGAGCGUUCGAUUCAACGGCGAACCUGUUCCAGGAUCACCGUUCACAUGCAAGAUAUUCAAAUCGGAUCAAAUCCUCGCCAAUGAGGAUGGACUGAAGAUGUGCCAUGUCGGUAGACUGACGACGAUAAAUGUAGAUUCACCGUCUGAUUCGUCUAUCUGCAAAGUGAUCGUGACUGCUCCAAAUGGACGCCAGAUACCGGUCGAUACGAAUACGAAGAUCGAUAAUAGGAUUUUGGCCAAAUUUACUCCCGUUGAAGUUGGUCAUCAUGUGAUUAAUGUUGAAGUCGAUGGGAAUCCAAUCAAGGGAAGUCCUUUCACCUGUAAUGUGUAUAAUGUUGAUAAAAUCAAAGUCACCGGAUUGGGAACUGCUAAAGUUGGCAAACCGGUUACAUUCAGCGUCGAUGCAACCGAAGCUGGAGAAGGUACUCUGGAGUUGGUCAUCAGUACCGAAUUAAGCACAGUGAAAGCUGAAGUUGUGGCAUGUUCCAGAGGGCUUUACGACGUAACUUUUGUACCUCAUCAGAUUUUACCUCACUUCGUUAAUAUCUCAUUCAACGAAGAAAGUUUACCAGGAAGUCCUUUCCGCUGCGACGUUGUAGAAAUACCUGGUAAAAAAGGCAGCACAGCAACAGCUCGAGGCGAAGGUCUAAACCAAGUGAUUUUAGGAUCAACAGCGUACUUUGAAAUAAACCCACAUUCCUUAGAUCAUGGCCAAAUUGAAGUACAAGUCACAGGUCCUGAUGGUAAAACAUUACCAGUGGUUUUGGAAAAAUUAGAAUCCGGCCUGUUUCGUGUCAAAUACAAACCUACAGUAGUAGGCAAUCAUACGGUUACCGUUUUGCAGAGAAAACAACCUAUUUCAAAACAUCCUUGGAAUGUGCAAGUAUUCGAUCCGACCAAAGUGAAGAUAUUCGAUCGAAGCGAAGCUUUUUGCAAUCAACCUGCUAGUUUCAAAGUCGAUACUCGUGGAGCUGGCAGUGGUGCUCUGACUCUAGGUGUAAAAGCAGCAACAUCCGAAGUCAAGCAUACUCUACAUGAGCUCGAUGCUCAAGGAAUUUACCAAGUUAAUUAUCAUCCAACGGUUCCAAUACCUCAUCGUAUCUUAAUAAAAUACAACAACGUUUACAUACCAGGAUGUCCAUUAGAAGUACCUGUCAGCGAUCCAGCCAUUGGCCAAGAUGUCUGCGCUAUUGGAAUGGGAUUGUAUCAAUCUAGAGCUAACCACGUGACUAGUUUCGUCAUAUAUACGGCUGGAUACUCGCCCAAUGACUUCGAUGUCGUUGUCACCGGUCCUCAUGGCACAGCUAUACCAGUAAGGUGUUACCAACAAAAAGAUGGCAACCUGUUGACUGAAUUCACCGCCGCCAAUACCGGCGUUUAUAAAAUCGAAGUUGUUCACGGAUCGAGACAGGUUCGAGGAUCGCCUUUUAUGUGCCAGGUAUUCGACGCUUCGAAAAUCAAAAUUGAAAAUAUACCAAAUAGCACCGUUUCGGUGAACGAUAAUAUUACUUUUAAAUUAAUUAGAAAAAAUGCCGGAUUGGCCGAAUUAGACGUCACAGUCCGUAGUCCUCUAGGUCAAGAUUUGCCUAUUGUUGUAAAAAGCAUAGGUCAAGAUACCGAUUUGAUCGAACUUUGUCCAACUUUACCCGGAAAUUACGGUUUCCAUAUUACCUAUGGUGGUGAUUCGAUACCAGAUUCACCUCUAACAUUCACUGUCGUAGACUCGGGUUUCGGUCGAGCCUGGGGUCCUGGUUUAUCUAAAGCUUUAGUCGACACAUUUACCAAAUUUUUCAUCUCGGCUCGAAGCGUAUCAGCUCAGGGUAAACCAGUCGUCCAAAUCACGUCUCCUACUCGAGAACCUAUCAGGUGUUCUGUUGUGCCAGCCAAAUCAGGGAACGAAGGCGAAUAUGAAGUCACUUUCACUCCAGAGAUGGUUGGAACUUACGAUAUAGAUGUGAUGUGGAAUGGCAAAAAUAUACCUGGAUCACCGUUCCAUUGCUUCGUUGUGAAUAUAAAUCGAGUCAGGGUAGUCGGAGAUAAUCCACUUUCGGGCAAAUUCAUCAUGACUGUAAAUACGACCACUAGAAUCAUAUUCGAUGUGUCACAAGCUGGCCCUGGUGAACUUGUGGGCACGUGUGAGGCUCCUCAUGGCACCACAAUACCAGUAAAUAUCGAACACUUGGGUCCAGAUACGGUGCAAUGCUCGCUAACUCCUCGUAAUCCUGGACCUCAUUCGUUAUCUUUACUUUAUGGCGGAUUCUCUCUGCCAAAUUCGCCUUUCCACGGAUUAGCUGAAAGUACAGCCAGUGGCGUCAGAGUCAUAUUAACUGGUAAAGGAUUAGCUUCCGCUAUAUGUGGCCAACAGGCUGAAUUCACCAUUGAUGGAACGCAGGCUGGUCCUGGCGUACCUGAAGUUACGUUAACUGGAGUUAAACACGAUAUCGAAGUAUCGUUACAGAAUAUCAGUGAUCGUGUUUAUAAAGCUAGCUAUACUCCUAACAAUCCUGGAGCUUAUUUAUUAAAUGUCAUGUGGUCUGAUAGACAAGUCAAAGGAUGUCCUCUCAAAGUUACCGUUAAUGCGGUUUGUGACGCUAGUAAGGUGUUGUGUACCGGAGAUGGUCUGGGAAUCGGUACCGUUGGCAAAGAUAUUAGAAGUUUUAUUGAUACUAGAAGAGCUGGACCAGGAGAAUUAAGUGCACAUUGCGUAGGUCCUCAUAAAGUAGCUUAUUGCGAACUGUACGACCACGGAGAUGGAACUUUCACAUUAAAUGUCAAACCACAAGAACCUGGAAAACAUACUCUUACCGUUAAAUACGGAGGUGUCGAUGUACCUGGAAGUCCAUUCGUUCUUAGAGUGAGUGGAGCCCCUGACCCGAGCAAGGUUCGAGUUUACGGACCUGGCAUCGAACAUGGCGUUUUAGCCAUGUUCCAAAGUAGAUUUAUUUGCGAUACUCGAGGAGCCGGCGCUGGCCAAUUGACCGUUCGAGUCAGAGGACCUAAAGGAGCUUUCCGAGUCGAAAUGCAAAGAGAGAGUCAAAAAGAUAGAACAAUUUUAUGUAAAUACGAUCCAACUGAACCAGGAGACUACAGAGUAGAAGUUAAAUGGGCCGGAGAACAUGUACCUGGAUCACCAUUCAUGGUUAUGAUCUUUGAUACCCAACAAGAACUGAAUAGAUAUUUGCAGGAAGCCAAAAAAAAGUUAAUUCCUUUUGUAAAGUAAUUGAAUGGUUACUAACAAUGGAUUUUGGAACUCGACGAUGCAUGUGCUACCACAAAAAUGAAGAAUUCGGCUUAAAAAUAAGCCAAAAAACAGGCCAUCGAAUCUUGCAUUUUUAAUUACCUACGUUUUCUGACUAAAUUGAAGUCGCUGGAGCACAAAUAAGUAUAACAUUAAAAAUCGAUCCUCGUCUCGUAAUUUUAAAAAAAAAGAAACAGUUUACGAUCUAAAAGGCACAAGCGCUCGAAUUGGACACCGGAUUCGGUCUCGGCGACCUGGAAUUAGUUGGAAAACAUCUUCAAAAAUGGAAAAAAUGAUUUCUUCGGACCACAACAGGAAAUUAAUGGCGUUCAUUGAUGAGCAACAGAGGUGUUAAUAAAAUUGCCUAACCGGUUCGCCGUAAAUACGAAGUACAUUUUUUACCCCAAAAAUAAACCUUUGAAUUUUGGGGCGUAUCGAAUGGGAAUUUCGAACGAGGGGGGUUUUUGUAGCGGGGAAUUUAUUUCUGGUGUCUGAUUCUCGCCUUGGAUUUUUCUUUCACCCGAAACGACAGAUUUAAUCGUGCAGAAAAAUUUCUAAGAAUGAAAAGUUUUGUUUUUUGAAUGUCUAAUUUUGAAAACUGAAAUUUUCGAUUAGAAUGGUAAUAUUUCAGAAUAAUAAUGGAAGAGUUGGAUGGAGGAGGAUAAUUCAAAAUUGAGACAACAAAUCAAAUAAAAAAAAAAUUUUUAAUUUUUUUUUUUGUUUUUUAAGAGUGACUAAACUUUUAGGAAAAUUUCCUGUUUGUAGAAAAAGUGAAAAAAGAAGUCCCAGACACCAGUUUCAAAACUCAAAAAAAACAUCUAUCAAGUUUAUUACCCUUGGUUAAUUUUAAGGAUCAAUUUCUCGUAUGAUAAAACAAUCUUUCAGCAUAAGCUACGAUUACCGUACCUUGUUUACAAUUAUUCUGGUUAACCUUAUACCUAUUCGCAAUGAAACAACAAACAAUUAAAUAAAUGUGUGAAUCGAA